rnacentral:tRNA from 1 species
UGCAUCGGCCGGGAAUCGAACCCGGGCCGCCGUUUGGCAGGCGAGCAUUCUACCACUGAACCACCGAUGG